rnacentral:rRNA from 1 species
UGAAGAGUUUGAUCAUGGCUCAGAUUGAACGCUGGCGGCAGGCCUAACACAUGCAAGUCGAACGGUAACAGGAAGCAGCUUGCUGCUUUGCUGACGAGUGGCGGACGGGUGAGUAAUGUCUGGGAAACUGCCUGAUGGAGGGGGAUAACUACUGGAAACGGUGGCUAAUACCGCAUAACGUCGCAAGACCAAAGAGGGGGACCUUCGGGCCUCUUGCCAUCAGAUGUGCCCAGAUGGGAUUAGCUAGUUGGUGAGGUAACGGCUCACCAAGGCGACGAUCCCUAGCUGGUCUGAGAGGAUGACCAGCCACACUGGAACUGAGACACGGUCCAGACUCCUACGGGAGGCAGCAGUGGGGAAUAUUGCACAAUGGGCGCAAGCCUGAUGCAGCCAUGCCGCGUGUAUGAAGAAGGCCUUCGGGUUGUAAAGUACUU